rnacentral:rRNA from 1 species
CAGGGAAUCUUCCACAAUGGACGCAAGUCUGAUGGAGCAACGCCGCGUGAGUGAAGAAGGUUUUCGGAUCGUAAAGCUCUGUUGUUGGUGAAGAAGGAUAGAGGCAGUAACUGGUCUUUAUUUGACGGUAAUCAACCAGAAAGUCACGGCUAACUACGUGCCAG